GUGGGGAAUAUUGGGCAAUGGGCGAAAGCCUGACCCAGCAACGCCGCGUGAAGGAAGAAGGUCUUCGGAUUGUAAACUUCUUUUAUCAGGGACGAAGGAAGUGACGGUACCUGAUGAAUAAGCCACGGCUAACUACGUGCCAGCAGCCGCGGUAAUACGUAGGUGGCGAGCGUUAUCCGGAUUUACUGGGUGUAAAGGGCGCGUAGGCGGGGAUACAAGUCAGGUGUGAAAUCUAUGGGCUUAACCCAUAAACUGCACUUGAAACUGUGUCUCUUGAGUGUCGGAGAGGUAGACGGAAUUCCUAGUGUAGCGGUGAAAUGCGUAGAUAUUAGGAGGAACACCAGUGGCGAAGGCGGUCUACUGGACGAUAACUGACGCUGAGGCGCGAAAGCGUGGGGAGCAAACAGGAUUAGAAACCCUUGUAGUCC
rnacentral:rRNA from 1 species